rnacentral:rRNA from 1 species
GACGAACCGUGCGAACGUUGUUCGGAAUCACUGGGCUUAAAGGGCGCGUAGGCGGGUUCGCAAGUCUGUGGUGAAAGCCUCCAGCUUAACUGGAGAAGUGCCAUGGAUACUGCGCAUCUUGAGGAGGGUAGGGGCGUCUGGAACGGUCGGUGGAGCGGUGAAAUGCGUUGAUAUCGAACGGAACUCCGGUGGCGAAGGCGAGGCGUGGACCCUUCUGACGCUGAGGCGCGAAAGCCAGGGGAGCAAACGGGG